UUUACAGAGCUGUCAAGAAAACGUUCAUGAAGAGGACAACGAUUCGGAGGAAGAAGAUCAAAAUGAUGACAGAGGACAUGGGUAUUUGUGUAUUGGUUUUUGUCAGGCUACUUACAUGUUCUUCAGACUUUUUUUCAGAUUCGGAGGACGAAGAUGAAAAAGACGACAGAGCAUGAAGAUGUAAAAGAUGGCAGGGCGCAAAGAUGAAAAAGAUGGCAGGGCG